rnacentral:rRNA from 1 species
ACUAAGCGUACACGGUGGAUGCCCUGGCAGUCAGAGGCGAUGAAGGACGUGCUAAUCUGCGAUAAGCGUCGGUAAGGUGAUAUGAACCGUUAUAACCGGCGAUUUCCGAAUGGGGAAACCCAGUGUGUUUCGUCACACUAUCAUUAACUGAAUCCAUAGGUUAAUGAGGCGAACCGGGGGAACUGAAACAUCUAAGUACCCCGAGGAAAAGAAAUCAACCGAGAUUCCCCCAGUAGCGGCGAGCGAACGGGGAGGAGCCCAGAGCCUGAAUCAGUGUGUGUGUUAGUGGAAGCGUCUGGAAAGGCGCGCGAUACAGGGUGACAGCCCCGUACACAAAAAUGCACAUGCUGUGAGCUCGAUGAGUAGGGCGGGACACGUGGUAUCCUGUCUGAAUAUGGGGGGACCAUCCUCCAAGGCUAAAUACUCCUGACUGACCGAUAGUGAACCAGUACCGUGAGGGAAAGGCGAAAAGAACCCCGGCGAGGGGAGUGAAAAAGAACCUGAAACCGUGUACGUACAAGCAGUGGGAGCACGCUUAGGCGUGUGACUGCGUACCUUUUGUAUAAUGGGUCAGCGACUUAUAUUCUGUAGCAAGGUUAACCGAAUAGGGGAGCCGAAGGGAAACCGAGUCUUAACUGGGCGUUAAGUUGCAGGGUAUAGACCCGAAACCCGGUGAUCUAGCCAUGGGCAGGUUGAAGGUUGGGUAACACUAACUGGAGGACCGAACCGACUAAUGUUGAAAAAUUAGCGGAUGACUUGUGGCUGGGGGUGAAAGGCCAAUCAAACCGGGAGAUAGCUGGUUCUCCCCGAAAGCUAUUUAGGUAGCGCCUCGUGAAUUCAUCUCCGGGGGUAGAGCACUGUUUCGGCAAGGGGGUCAUCCCGACUUACCAACCCGAUGCAAACUGCGAAUACCGGAGAAUGUUAUCACGGGAGACACACGGCGGGUGCUAACGUCCGUCGUGAAGAGGGAAACAACCCAGACCGCCAGCUAAGGUCCCAAAGUCAUGGUUAAGUGGGAAACGAUGUGGGAAGGCCCAGACAGCCAGGAUGUUGGCUUAGAAGCAGCCAUCAUUUAAAGAAAGCGUAAUAGCUCACUGGUCGAGUCGGCCUGCGCGGAAGAUGUAACGGGGCUAAACCAUGCACCGAAGCUGCGGCAGCGACGCUUAUGCGUUGUUGGGUAGGGGAGCGUUCUGUAAGCCUGUGAAGGUGUACUGUGAGGUAUGCUGGAGGUAUCAGAAGUGCGAAUGCUGACAUAAGUAACGAUAAAGCGGGUGAAAAGCCCGCUCGCCGGAAGACCAAGGGUUCCUGUCCAACGUUAAUCGGGGCAGGGUGAGUCGACCCCUAAGGCGAGGCCGAAAGGCGUAGUCGAUGGGAAACAGGUUAAUAUUCCUGUACUUGGUGUUACUGCGAAGGGGGGACGGAGAAGGCUAUGUUGGCCGGGCGACGGUUGUCCCGGUUUAAGCGUGUAGGCUGGUUUUCCAGGCAAAUCCGGAAAAUCAAGGCUGAGGCGUGAUGACGAGGCACUACGGUGCUGAAGCAACAAAUGCCCUGCUUCCAGGAAAAGCCUCUAAGCAUCAGGUAACAUCAAAUCGUACCCCAAACCGACACAGGUGGUCAGGUAGAGAAUACCAAGGCGCUUGAGAGAACUCGGGUGAAGGAACUAGGCAAAAUGGUGCCGUAACUUCGGGAGAAGGCACGCUGAUAUGUAGGUGAAGUGAUUUACUCAUGGAGCUGAAAUCAGUCGAAGAUACCAGCUGGCUGCAACUGUUUAUUAAAAACACAGCACUGUGCAAACACGAAAGUGGACGUAUACGGUGUGACGCCUGCCCGGUGCCGGAAGGUUAAUUGAUGGGGUUAGCGCAAGCGAAGCUCUUGAUCGAAGCCCCGGUAAACGGCGGCCGUAACUAUAACGGUCCUAAGGUAGCGAAAUUCCUUGUCGGGUAAGUUCCGACCUGCACGAAUGGCGUAAUGAUGGCCAGGCUGUCUCCACCCGAGACUCAGUGAAAUUGAACUCGCUGUGAAGAUGCAGUGUACCCGCGGCAAGACGGAAAGACCCCGUGAACCUUUACUAUAGCUUGACACUGAACAUUGAGCCUUGAUGUGUAGGAUAGGUGGGAGGCUUUGAAGUGUGGACGCCAGUCUGCAUGGAGCCGACCUUGAAAUACCACCCUUUAAUGUUUGAUGUUCUAACGUGGACCCGUAAUCCGGGUUGCGGACAGUGUCUGGUGGGUAGUUUGACUGGGGCGGUCUCCUCCUAAAGAGUAACGGAGGAGCACGAAGGUUGGCUAAUCCUGGUCGGACAUCAGGAGGUUAGUGCAAUGGCAUAAGCCAGCUUGACUGCGAGCGUGACGGCGCGAGCAGGUGCGAAAGCAGGUCAUAGUGAUCCGGUGGUUCUGAAUGGAAGGGCCAUCGCUCAACGGAUAAAAGGUACUCCGGGGAUAACAGGCUGAUACCGCCCAAGAGUUCAUAUCGACGGCGGUGUUUGGCACCUCGAUGUCGGCUCAUCACAUCCUGGGGCUGAAGUAGGUCCCAAGGGUAUGGCUGUUCGCCAUUUAAAGUGGUACGCGAGCUGGGUUUAGAACGUCGUGAGACAGUUCGGUCCCUAUCUGCCGUGGGCGCUGGAGAACUGAGGGGGGCUGCUCCUAGUACGAGAGGACCGGAGUGGACGCAUCACUGGUGUUCGGGUUGUCAUGCCAAUGGCACUGCCCGGUAGCUAAAUGCGGAAGAGAUAAGUGCUGAAAGCAUCUAAGCACGAAACUUGCCCCGAGAUGAGUUCUCCCUGACUCCUUGAGAGUCCUGAAGGAACGUUGAAGACGACGACGUUGAUAGGCCGGGUGUGUAAGCGCAGUGAUGCGUUGAGCUAACCGGUACUAAUGAACCGUGAGGCUUAACC